rnacentral:rRNA from 1 species
GUGGGGAAUUUUGGACAAUGGGCGAAAGCCUGAUCCAGCAAUGCCGCGUGCAGGAUGAAGGCCCUCGGGUUGUAAACUGCUUUUGUACGGAACGAAAAGCUCUGGGCUAAUACCCUGGAGUCAUGACGGUACCGUAAGAAUAAGCACCGGCUAACUACGUGCCAGCAGCCGCGGUAAUACGUAGGGUGCAAGCGUUAAUCGGAAUUACUGGGCGUAAAGCGUGCGCAGGCGGUUUUGUAAGACAGUGGUGAAAUCCCCGGGCUCAACCUGGGAACUGCCAUUGUGACUGCAAAGCUAGAGUGCGGCAGAGGGGGAUGGAAUUCCGCGUGUAGCAGUGAAAUGCGUAGAUAUGCGGAGGAACACCGAUGGCGAAGGCAAUCCCCUGGGCCUGCACUGACGCUCAUGCACGAAAGCGUGGGGAGCAAACAGGAUUAGAUACCCUGGUAGUCC